rnacentral:rRNA from 1 species
UACAGAGGUCUCAAGCGUUGCUCGGAUUCAUUGGGCGUAAAGGGUGCGUAGGCGGCGCGGUAAGUCGGGUGUGAAAUUUCGAGGCUUAACUUCGAAACUGCAUUCGAUACUGCCGUGCUAGAGGACUGGAGAGGAGACUGGAAUUUACGGUGUAGCGGUGAAAUGCGUAGAUAUCGUAAGGAAGACCAGUGGCGAAGGCGGGUCUCUGGACAGUUCCUGACGCUGAGGCACGAAGGCCAGGGGAGCAAACGGG